rnacentral:rRNA from 1 species
GACGAGGGGUCCAAGCGUUGUUCGGAAUUAUUGGGCGUAAAGCGGGUGUAGGUGGCUCUAUAAGUCAGGAGUGAAAUCCCCGAGCUUAACUUGGGAAGUGCUUUUGAUACUGCAGAGCUUGAAUGUGGGAGAGGAUAAUAGAAUUCCAGGUGUAGUGGUGAAAUACGUAGAUAUCGAGAGGAACACCGGUGGCGAAGGCGGUUCUCUGGGCCUGUACUGACGCUGAGGAGCGAAAGCGUGGGGAGCGAACAGG